rnacentral:rRNA from 1 species
AUUGAACGCUGGCGGCAGGCCUAACACAUGCAAGUCGAGCGAGCGGCGGACGGGUGAGUAAUGUAUGGGGACUGCCCGAUAGAGGGGGCUAACUCCUAGAAACGGUAGCUAAUACCGCAUACUAUCGGAUAACCCAUAUGGGAUUAGCUAGUAGGUGAGGUAAUGGCUCACCUAGGCGACGAUCCAUAGCUGGUCUGAGAGGAUGAUCAGCCACACUGGGACUGAGACACGGCCCCGACUCCUACGGAGGCAGCAUUGGGGAAUAUUGCACAAUGGGCGCAAGCCUGAUGCAGCCAUGCCGCGUGUAUGAAGAAGGUGCUAGGGUUGUAAAGUACUUUCAGUCGGGAGGCGUUACCGACAGAAGAAGCACCGGCUAACUCCGUGCCAGCAGCCGCGGUAAUAC